AAUUGUGGCUUGCAUUGUAAGAGGAGCCUGUGAAUUCAGAGGCAAGUCUGCUGAGGACCGAAUGUUCCUGUCCAUAAAAACAGAAGUCUGGCCUGGGCUCCUCUCUUGGGAACUGGUGAAGAUUUCCCCAGCAAAAAGUAGAAGCUCAGUGUUUCAUAGAUGAAGACUGGGGAGAUUGCAAAAGACCCAUCCAGAGUCUCACUUUGUCGCCCAGGCUGGAGUACAGUGGUGCGAUCUUGGCUCUCUGCAACCUCUGCCUCCCAGGUUCAAGUAAUUCUCCUGCCUCAGCCUCCCGAGUAGCUGGUACUACAGGCACACAUUUGUAGAGAUGGUGUUUCCCCAUGUCAUCCAGGCUGGUCUGGAACUCCUGGGAUCAAGUAAUCCACCCGCCUCGGCCUCCCAAAGUGCUGGGAUUACAGACGUGAGCCACCACGCCCUGCCAAUAAAAAGAUUAUCUCCAGAUGCUGGAAUGACCAGUAAUUUAUUUUCUUCCUUUUUUUUUGUCUGCACUUUCUACCAUAAUCAUAUGUUAGCUUCUUACUAAGAAGAAAAGUCAAUGUUAUUUCCCUGAAAAAGUAAUGUUGUUUGGUUAUUAAACAAAUUUAAUUUUCUAAACAAGAGUACGACAGGUAAACUGCCUACCUUAAAAGCAAACGAACACAAAUAAAUAAACUAACCAUCUUCCACUUCAGUCUCUGUCCUUUCACCAGAGUUGCUGAUCAGCCCAGAAUGGACUGAUUUGAAUUUGCUUAGUUGUUCAUUCAUUCAUUUAUUUAACAAGUAUUUAUUAAGCACUUGCUCUGUAGAAAGCACUGUGCUGGUAUUGGAAUACUGGCUUAUGUAAGUGUGAUAGUAAUGGGAUUCUGACUUAGGCCUGACUCCUGGGCCGUAAUGUUUGGAUACUAUGUAUACAUCUAACUAUAAAACGAG
rnacentral:lncRNA from 10 species